AUUGAACGCUGGCGGCAGGCCUAACACAUGCAAGUCGAGCGGAGCGGCGGACGGGUGAGUAAUGCCUAGGAAUCUGCCUGGUAGUGGGGGAUAACGUCCGGAAACGGGCGCUAAUACCGCAUACUAUCAGAUGAGCCUAGGUCGGAUUAGCUAGUUGUGGGGGUAAAGGCCCACCAAGGCGACGAUCCCUAGCUGGUCUGAGAGGAUGACCAGCCACACUGGAACUGAGACACGGGCCAGACUCAUACGGGAGGCAGCAGUGGGGAAUAUUGCACAAUGGGCGAAAGCCGGAUGCAGCCAUGCCGCGUGUAUGAAGAAGGCCUUCGGGUUGUAAAGUACUUUCAGCGGGGAGGCGUUACCAGCAGAAGAAGCACCGGCUAACUCCGUGCCAGCAGCCGCGGUAAUAC
rnacentral:rRNA from 1 species